rnacentral:other from 1 species
AGUUUCCUGGUGUGUUAGCGAGUUGGAUAAGUCCUCGAGCCGAUAAGCGUUUUACCGGUGGCGACUCAGGGUAAUGUGUGCAAGUCCCCACGUCUUUUAUAGAGGUAUUCGUAUCUCUUUAAGGAUAUUAGGGGAAAGCCUAAUUUAUCACAGCUGCUACCACCUUGAACCAUAGGGUUCAAGGCCAUAUUCGACCGCGGCACAUUGGGAAACUU